rnacentral:rRNA from 1 species
CCAGCAGCCGCGGUAAUUCCAGCUCCAAUAGCGUAUAUUAAAGUUGUUGCAGUUAAAAAGCUCGUAGUUGGAUUUCUGGGAGGGUGCCAAUGUCCGCUCGUUCGCGUGUGCAGCGGCGCCCUUCCAUCCUUCUGUUAACGUUUCUUGGUAUUCAGUUACUGGUUUCGGGCUCAGAUAUUUUACCUUGAGAAAAUUAGAGUGUUUCAGGCAGGCUUGCGCCGGAAUACAUUAGCAUGGAAUAAUAGAAUAGGACUUUAGUCUCCUUUGUUGGUUUGAGGGACUGAAGUAAUGAUUAAUAGGGAUAGUUGGGGGCAUUAGUAUUUAAUUGUCAGAGGUGAAAUUCUCGGAUUUGUUAAAGACUAACUUAUGCGAAAGCAUUUGCCAAGGAUGUUUUCAUUAAUCAAGAACGAAAGUC